CACGUAGGGCGCAAGCGUUGUCCGGAAUUACUGGGCGUAAAGCGUGCGUAGACGGUUAUGUAAGUCGGGUGUGAAAGCCCCGGGCUCAACCUGGGAAUGGCAUUGGAAACUGGUCAGCUGGAGUGUGGCAGAGGGGGGUGGAAUUCCGCGUGUAGCAGUGAAAUGCGUAGAGAUGCGGAGGAACACCGAUGGCGAAGGCAGCCCCCUGGGCCAACACUGACGCUCAGGCACGAAAGCGUGGGGAGCGAACAGG
rnacentral:rRNA from 1 species